rnacentral:rRNA from 1 species
UACGAAGGGGGCUAGCGUUGUUCGGAUUUACUGGGCGUAAAGAGCUUGUAGGCGGUUUGUCGCGUCUGCCGUGAAAAUUCGAGGCUCAACCUCGAACUUGCGGUGGGUACGGGCAGACUAGAGUGUGGUAGGGGAGACUGGAAUUCCUGGUGUAGCGGUGAAAUGCGCAGAUAUCAGGAGGAACACCGAUGGCGAAGGCAGGUCUCUGGGCCACUACUGACGCUGAGAAGCGAAAGCAUGGGGAGCGAACAGG